AAGUUGUAACAAGGUCUCUGUUAGUGAACUAGCGGAGGGAUCAUUAUAGAGUUGCAAAACUCCUAUCACCAUUGCGAACUUACCUUACAACCGUUGCUUUGGCAGGCGGCCCUAGGCUUCUGCUUUCCUAGAUCCUUAGGGCCCUAUAGCCUGAUUGUCAGGUGCCUGCCAGAGGUCAUGCAACUAGACAUUGUUUAUAGCCUAUUAGAAUUUGUACUACCAAUUAGUUAAAACUUUCAACAACGGAUCUCUUGGUUCUG
rnacentral:misc_RNA from 1 species